rnacentral:rRNA from 1 species
CCUACGGGAGGCAGCAGUGAGGAAUAUUGGUCAAUGGACGAGAGUCUGAACCAGCCAAGUAGCGUGAAGGAUGACUGCCCUAUGGGUUGUAAACUUCUUUUAUAUGGGAAUAAAAUGUUCCACGUGUGUGAUUUUGUAUGUACCAUAUGAAUAAGGAUCGGCUAACUCCGUGCCAGCAGCCGCGGUAAUACGGAGGAUCCGAGCGUUAUCCGGAUUUAUUGGGUUUAAAGGGAGCGUAGGUGGAUUGUUAAGUCAGUUGUGAAAGUUUGCGGCUCAACCGUAAAAUUGCAGUUGAAACUGGCAGUCUUGAGUACAGUAGAGGUGGGCGGAAUGCGUGGUGUAGCGGUGAAAUGCUUAGAUAUCACGAAGAACUCCGAUUGCGAAGGCAGUUCACUGGACUGAAACUGACACUGAGGCUCGAAAGUGUGGGUAUCAAACAGGAUUAGAUACCCGGGUAGUC